ACAUAGGCACGGAGUAGCAGGACAAC
rnacentral:piRNA from 1 species